rnacentral:rRNA from 1 species
UACGUAGGGCGCAAGCGUUGUCCGGAAUUAUUGGGCGUAAAGAGCUCGUAGGCGGUCUGUUACGUCCGCUGUGAAAACCCAGGGCUUAACCCUGGGCUUGCAGUGGAUACGGGUAGACUAGAGGCAGGUAGGGGGGAAUGGAAUUCCCGGUGUAGCGGUGAAAUGCGCAGAUAUCAGGAGGAACACCGGUGGCGAAGGCGGAUCUCUGGGCCUGUUCUGACGCUGAGGCGCGAAAGCUAGGGGAGCGAACAGG